UUUCAUUUUGUUGUCAAUAAUGAAUGGUAUUGAACUCGACCUUGAAUUCACACAGCGAAUGUUUUUCUUCUCAUUUCGUUGUCAAAUUCAAUAGACUCAAUAAUCAAUGGAAUUCACGCACCGACCGUUUCUUUUCUUAUGGAAUCGAACCAAAACACAUAACCGUGUAUAAGAAGAGUUUUUCUCCCGAAGUUUGAAGACACAUUUUCUCGCUUCUUUGCGAGUUUCGAAUUAGGCAAGUGCAACAUGGGAUCUACAACCAAAUCUAGAUCAUCAAUUUCGGAGUAAAUUCUCAGUCUCUAUUGUGGCCGAGCAUUUCGUCUUCUAUAAUUUUUUUAGAGCCGAAGAAAUCAGUAAUUCUAUUAACGUAUCAGAUGACAGAACUCUGAGAACAUAUAAGAGAAGAAAAUGAAAAAAUGAUUGGUACGGCGUACGGGAGUUCUUACUUGCUGAGAUCAAAGAAAAUACCAUAAUUCAGUUUUAAUUUUGGUCAAGUUGUGGAUACCAAUGCAGUCUUUCCAUACAACGAUACAAGCUCCUGACAAAUCACCGUUGGAACUGCAGAUAAGGACGCAAGUGGUGCACUCUCCAGCAACUUGGCUUUAUAAAGAAUCCGAGAAAAAGGUGUCCCCGUCAAGGGUUAUACAUGUACCCAAGGUUGACCUAUCUUCGUUCCAGACCUAACGAGUAGAGAAUGAAACCGAAAUAAAUGAUGAAGACGACGGUGGGAUUAACAGGGUUGUCUUGUGAUUCUUGGGCAUGAUCCGGAAUCAGUCAUUGAUUCAUCCGUCAUGAUUCUCAAUUUACAAAUUUCUUACGUUGAUCAUUAAUGGAAUAUGCUGAAUAUCUCCUUUACUUCAUGUGUUCUGCAAUUUUACCCUUGGGGCUUCCUUAUUAUGCAGUUGAUUUUGUUGUUAUUUUUGGGUUACUACGGCAGAAGGUCCAACAAAUCCAAGUUUUGGAAGUUAUGAAAGUGGAGAAAAAAUUGCAGGUUCUGAUUUUUGUGAACAAGAUAGGUGAUGAAUAUCUUUACCUUGCUAUUGGUUUUUGUGAUGGAGGAUAACGUUGACAAUAAAUUCGAACCAACCUUUCCCCACAAUCUUGAAUGAAAGCUAGCAUUCUUUUCAAGAAAUGAAGUUUGAAGUGAACUAUAAAAUUUUAACGUUGACAAUAAAGAUGUUGCAUGAUUUGAGUAACUGUGCGCGUGGAGUGAAUCUGUUUUGGAUUAGAAAGUAUUAAAUUUAAUGGAUAUGAGGUUAAUCCCUGUGACGAUACUAUAUUGUAUUGUGGAAAUUGGAUUCCAACUUCGGUUUAGAUCUUGAAGAAUUUAAUGUUUGCGAUGCGACACCAAUCAUGGUGGAACCAGUACUGCCCAUUUAGAAAAUCUCAAAUUAAUAUGAAUGCUUUAGUGUCACAUGACCGUUUAGUUGUUUGUUUUUCAAUCAAGAAAUCGUAUACACAAAUUAUUACCCCAGCUGAUGGAAAAAAUUGCAGAUAUAUGACGCGGAUGAGUGUUUGUUUUGCACAUUGUAAAAAUGAUCA